rnacentral:rRNA from 1 species
AUGCAAGUCGAACGCGAAAGCCUCCUUCGGGGGGCAAGUAGAGUGGCGCACGGGUGAGUAACACGUAGGUAAUCUACCUUUGGAUUGGGAAUAACCACCGGAAACGGUGGCUAAUACCGAAUAAUGCAGCGGCACCUAAUGGUGACAGUUGUUAAAGCGGGGGAUCGCAAGACCUCGCGUCUGAAGAGGAGCCUGCGGCAGAUUAGCUAGUUGGUAAGGUAACGGCUUACCAAGGCGAUGAUCUGUAGCCGGCCUGAGAGGGCGGUCGGCCACACUGACACUGACAUACGGGUCAGACUCCUACGGGAGGCAGCAGUCGGGAAUUUUGGGCAAUGGGCGAAAGCCUGACCCAGCAACGCCGCGUGAAGGAUGAAAUCCUUCGGGAUGUAAACUUCGCAAGAACGGGAAGAAUAAGUAAGGGUUAAUAUCUCUUACGAUGACGGUACUGUUUGUAAGCUCCGGCUAACUCCGUGCCAGCAGCCGCGGUAAUACGGGGGGAGCAAGCGUUGUUCGGAUUUACUGGGCGUAAAGGGCGCGUAGGCGGCCACCGCAAGUCGACUGUGAAAUCUCCGGGCUUAACCCGGAAAGGUCAGCCGAUACUGCGGGGCUAGAGUGCAGAAGGGGCAACUGGAAUUCUCGGUGUAGCGGUGAAAUGCGUAGAUUUCGAGAGGAACACCUGCGGCGAAGGCGGGUUGCUGGGCUGACACUGACGCUGAGGCGCGAAAGCUAGGGGAGCGAACGGGAUUAGAUACCCCGGUAGUCCUAGCCUUAAACGAUGAAUGCUUGGUGUCU